AGAACGAACGCUGGCGGCAGGCUUAACACAUGCAAGUCGAACGCCCCGCAAGGGGAGUGGCAGACGGGUGAGUAACACGUGGGAACAUACCCUUCGGUUCGGAACAACGUUUGGAAACGAACGCUAAUACCGGAUACGGCCUCUGGGCGAAAGAUUCAUCGCCGAAGGAUUGGCCCGCGUUCGAUUAGCUUGAUGGUGAGGUAACGGCUCACCAUGGCGACGAUCGAUAGCUGGUCUGAGAGGACGAUCAGCCACACUGGGAUUGAGAACGGCCCAGACUCCUACGGGGGGCAGCAGUGAGGAAUUUUCGGCAAUGGGGGCAACCCUGACCGAGCAACGCCGCGUGCAGGAAGACGGCCUUCGGGUUGUAAACUGCUUUUCUCUGGGACGAGAGCGGACGGUACCAGAGGAAGAAGCCCCGGCUAACUACGCGCCAGCAGCCGC
rnacentral:rRNA from 1 species